rnacentral:rRNA from 1 species
AAUAAUUUUUUAUAUAUAUAUUGUUUUUAAGAUGUAUAUUUAUUUUAAUUAAAGUAUUAUUAUAAAGGUGUAAAUUUAUUUAUAAAAAAUUUAUUUUAUUUAUAUUUUUAGUAUUGUAAAAGAUUAUUUUAAUUAUUUAAAUUAUAAUUUUAUUUAUUUUUACCUUUUGUAUCAGGGUUGAUUAAAAUUAAUAAAUUGAAAAUUUAUUUCUCGAAACAGAUUGAUCUAAAUUAUUAUAAAAUUUAUUGUUUAAUUAAUAUUUUAAAUGAUAAUUUUGUGGUGAUAUAUAUGUCAUAAUUUGUAUAUCUAGUUAUUUUAUAGAUAAAUUUAAUUUAGUUAAUGAAAUUUAAAAAUUUAUAUUUUAAUUUUAUUAUUAAUAAUUUUUGGGAUAAGCUAAAAAUUAAUUUUAGUAUAUAAUAAAUUUUUUAUUAAAUAUUUAUAAAAAUAAAAAUUUUUAUUAAUUUAUAAUUUGUAAUAAUUAAUAUUUUUAUAUUUUAAAUUUUUAUUUUAUCUAGUUUAUUAUAAAAUAAUUUAAAGAAAUUAUUUUUUUAAAAGUAUAAUGAUUAAAUUAGUAUAAAAUUUGUUAAUAAAGUAAAAUAUUUACUAUAUUAAUUAAAUGAAUUCGGCAAAAUAUAAUUAUUCAACUGUUUAAUAAAAACAUAGUUUAUAGAGUAUAAUUAUAAAUUGUUUCUGCUCAAUGAAUUAAUUUAAAUAGCUGCAGUAUUCUAACUGUACAAAGGUAGCAUAAUCAUUUGUCUUUUUAAUAAAGUCUGGAAUGAAUGAAUUUAUGAAAUAAUAGCUUUAUUUAGUUAAAAAUUAAAAUUUUAAUUUUAAGUAAAAAUUCUUAAAAUUAUUUAAAAGACGAGAAGACCCUAUAGAAUUUUAUAAUUUAUUUAUUUAAUUAAAAUUUAUUAAUUUUAUUAUUUAUAUAAUUAUUUUAUUGGGGAUAUACAAAAAUUUAAAUAAAUUUUUGACUAGGCUGAACAUUUAUUUUUGGAGAUUUUUAUCUAUAAUUUAUAAAAUUAAAAUAAAUUACCUUAGGGAUAACAGCGUAAUUUUUUUAGAGAGACCAUAUUGAUAAAAAAGUUUGCGACCUCGAUGUUGAAUUAAGAUAAAAUUAUAAUGUAGAUAUUAUAUAAAUUUAAGUCUGUUCGACUUUUGAAAUCUUACAUGAUUUGAGUUUAGAUCGGCGUGAGCCAGAUCGGAUUCUAUCUUUAAAUAUAUUUAAUAAUUUUGUACGAAAGGACUUUUUAUUGGGCAUAAUUUUUAAAAUUUGAAUAAAAUUAAAUUU